rnacentral:rRNA from 1 species
GACGAACGCUGGCGGCGUGCUUAACACAUGCAAGUCGAACGGGCCCGCUCUCUUUUUUGGGGGUGGGUUGAGUGGCGAACGGGUGAGUAUCACGUGAGUAACCUGCCCCCUGCUCCUGGAUAACUGCUUGAAAGGGCGGCUAAUACGGGGUGUGCCGGCUGGUCCGCAUGGGCCUGGUCGGGAUAGUGUCAUCUUCGGGUGUUUCGGGGGGGGAUGGGCUCGCGGCCUAUCAGCUUGUUGGGGGGGUGAUGGCCCACCAAGGCGGUGACGGGUAGCCGGCGUGGGAGGGUGGGCGGCCACACUGGGACUGAGACACGGCCCAGACUCCGGCGGGAGGCAGCGGUGGGGGGUAUUGCACAAUGGGCGGAAGCCUGAUGCAGCGACGUCGCGUGAGGGAUGGAGGCCUUCGGGUUGUGAACCUCUUUCUCCGGUGGUGAAGGCCCUGUCCGUUGCGGCGGGGUUGACGGUAGCCGGGGAUGAAGCGCCGGCUAACUACGUG